rnacentral:rRNA from 1 species
UACGGAGGGUGCGAGCGUUAUCCGGAUUUACUGGGUUUAAAGGGUGCGUAGGCGUCUUUCUAAGUCAGUGGUGAAAGCCUGGCGCUCAACGCCAGAAAUGCCAUUGAUACUGAAGAGCUUGAGUCAAGAAGAGGUAAGCAGAAUUCAUGGUGUAGCGGUGAAAUGCAUAGAUACCAUGAGGAAUUUCAAUAGCGAAGGCAGCUUACUGGUCUUUGACUGACGCUGAGGCACGAAAGCGUGGGGAGCAAACAGG